GACAGAUCUAAGAGCACAAUACAAAAUACAAGGAAAAAAGGUUGCGCCAAAUAUAGAGUAUAAUAAGUCCAAUACGUCAAAAGGGUUCUUGGGAAAUUUCUGGCUGGAAAUCUUCCAGGCUUCAAUAGUGAUAGAAAUAUGUAAUAAAACAGAAAAUAAUCAAUAAUCGUGUAGAUGGUAUAGUAUUAGGUAUAGGACACACAACAAGGAUAUAUGUACUUGCACUCACAUUUUAUAGAGC